UCCCAGCGGUCCAAGUAGCAACCACAAUUAUUGGGUCUAAAACAUCCGUAGCUUGCUUUGCAAGUCUCUUGUGAAAUCCGGCCUCUUAAGGGUCGAAGAGCGAGAGAUACUGCUUGGCUAGAGACCGGGAGAGGUAAGAAGUACGGUCGGGGUACCGGUAAAAUGGGUUGAUCCCGUCUGGACUAACAACAGCGAAGGCAUCUUACCAGCACGGAUCUGACAGUAAGGGAUGAAGGCUAGGGGCGCAAAAGGG
rnacentral:rRNA from 1 species